rnacentral:lncRNA from 1 species
UAAAUUUUAAAAAAAUGAGAUUGCAUGCAUCUUCACUGAAUCAUGGUAAACUUUAUCGUGUACAAGGCGUGUUUUAGUCAUCUAUAUUAAGUAGUGCAUGCACCCAGGGCCGAAAAAUCUCUUUCAAGGAAGAACUUACAUGAGGCCAAAUAACCAAGAACUCCUGUUUACACGAGCAUCAUAAAAAAAGAGUGGUCAUGCAAUAAGCUGACCCCAGAUCUUAAACUUUUGAUUAAGGGAGUAGCAGAUUCCGCUUACAUAAAAAAGAAAAAGAAUAUUGUAUAUAGUAAUUUAACCUCAUAAAUAUUUUGGUAGCUCCAGUCCAAAAGUAUGAAAUUGUCAUCUUGAAAACCCGAAACAAACAUGGAAAUAAUAGUCUCUUUCAGAAAUAUCAACAAAAGGAGAAUAGGUUAUUUCGGCAACCAAUCCAAAUUGUCAAAAGUUCAAUACAUCAGUUCGGCAAGUGUGAACCUGCAAAGAAAUAAUGAUCAUCAAAUUACAAUAGAGAAACAUGGUAAUGUGUGGCAGGUAACACUAACAAAACCAUCAGAAUACAUUGACCUAUCAGGAAAAUAAGAAGUCUCUCCAAUGGCAGGUAGCAUGCAGAUAUGCAUCUUGUCGUUCCCAUCCACACUCAGCAACAGCAUGUCUACCUUCAACCUCAACUCACUGAAUGAGUUUCCGAACUACAUCCACAGACAAAAGCAGAGCAGCGAUCACUCUAUCAUGUAAACACAUGCAGCAAACAACAUAGAUUGAGCGAGUGUAUGAUUCUGUUAAACUCAAUACACAACCUGACCUGUUAUAGAGAGUCAUGUAGCUUUCGUAUACAUUUUGGUACACACAUCAGGUGAUAAAUGAAAGGCAAGUAAUAGGCAGUUCUUGUGUAUAGUUCACACAUGAGAGAGAUUCUGGCUGCCUCAUAGAAAUUCAGUGCAUACUAAAACUUAUUAGUUGGAGAGGUGGGGGUGAAGGUGGACUAAAACUUAUUUCUUUCUUGGACCUUCAUGAAUCCAAUCCACUGAAAAUGAGUUAGUGACGUCCUCUCCUUCGCCAGGGAGUUCUACACCUACUACAGCCACAGAUUGAGAAGGUCGAGCCCUCGCAGUGAGACUCAGAUCCGGCUGCCCCACAAUAUAUGUUGUUCUAGGCCAGCGGGUGGGUGUCGGAUUCUCCUCUACCGCCGGGCACGGCGGCAACAAUAGGUGGAGGAGAAGCGUGCCGAGUGGACCUGGGAGCAGGAGAACGAGCUCGCCGCUAUAUCUGAUACAGCUCACGAAUCAAGUGCGGUGGAACACCAUAGUUCCUCACAUAUCAAAAUAACAUAUCAGCCUUGGAAGAUCCAAAGGGAAAAGAUCAAUUUAAAAGAACUUACACGAAGAUCGCUGUGAAAAAGAGCAUAGAUCAGGAACUAGUCAAAUACACGAUCACGAGCUUGAAUUGGGUCAUGUCCCUUCCAAGAAGUUGUGGUCCUGGUUUCAUGAUUAGACUUAC